AUUAUAAUCUAUUCAGUGAAAUGUGAAUCUUCCGUUGUCUAUCUUUGUCGUUUUAUUUGUUUUAUUCUAUGGUUUCACGGUACUGACUUUAUACCGAGCAGCUAUAACAAAUUACAAUAAGCACAAUAUAUGAUAAUAGGAUAUAUUUAAAUAAAUAAUAAUAAUAAAAUAUAAAUAUAAUAUUAUCUACACGGACAAUCAUACUGUAUUAAUUGUAGUGUUGCGCACAUUUUGUGCGUCAUAGUUCAUACUACCCACAUUACAAAUAUACGCAAAAUUGGUAGAAUCGGAGAAGCCACUGAAAUCCGACAAUGUGUACAUAGUUUUGAAUGCAAAUUAAAUUAUAAUAACUUUGCAUUGAACAACACAAUCGAUAAGUGCAUAUAUGAAUAACAACGAAUUAUAAUUAUUUGACUCGUCUUGCACCUUGUUUAAAUGAGAACAUAAACGCCACACGGUCAUUAUUGUGUUUGUAGAAUUGUUUACUGAAUAUUCCUGUGCUUCACCUAAAAUGUUGAAGAUUUUCAGCUUCAUAUCCUAUUGGUACAUGCGUUACUUACUGGUCUCCGAAUUGUAUUUAGUAGAAAAAUGGGAAAGGUGUUUGAUACAUGCCAUAAUGUUAAUAUUGUUCGUUGGAUUGUGGUAUAUGAACAAAGUAUUCAUUGAAUUUGUUUCAAAUUGUAUAGCAUAAUUUAACUAUAAUAACUUAUCAUGUUAUUAUAAAAUUUUGCUUUCAAGUUGAUAAAAUAUUUGAAAAAUGAUCAAAAGCUGCAUACACAAAACAGGAAAUAUGUUCAACAUUAAUAUUGAUUAUGUUACAGCAAAAUAUAUAGUGGUAAUUUAUAAAAUAAAGAAAACAUUUAUUUUUA